CUACGGAGGGUGCAAGCGUUACUCGGAAUCACUGGGUGUAAAGCGCGCGCAGGCGGUCUUUUAAGUUGGAUGUGAAAGCCUACGGCUCAACCGUAGAACUGCAUCCAAAACUAUUAGACUAGAGUGUGGGAGAGGAAGAUGGAAUUAGUUGUGUAGGGGUAAAAUCCGUAGAGAUAACUAGGAAUACCAAAAGCGAAGGCAAUCUUCUGGAACACUACUGACGCUGAGGCGCGAAAGCGUGGGGAGCAAACAGGAUUAGAAACCCUAGUAGUCC
rnacentral:rRNA from 1 species